UGAAAUUGGUUAUCCGCUAAAGCGACGCCGCGUGCGGGAUGAAGGCCUUCGGGUUGUAAACCGCUUUCAGCAGGGAAGAAGCGAAAGUGACGGUACCUGCAGAAGAAGCACCGGCUAACUAUGUGCCAGCAGCCGCGGUAAUA
rnacentral:rRNA from 1 species